rnacentral:lncRNA from 1 species
GAAGGCCUCGGGCAAAAAAACAAGCCAGUGAGAGUUGUGUGCACGGGAAUAGCAACAAGGUAAUAUAGGAGAAAGGUCACAGUGGCUUGGAGAUGAAUUCCAGGACACAGCACUGCAGGAGGGACCAUGCCCCUCGAGGCUUCUUAUAUGUGGUUCCUCAGUUCUUGGCUAAGUUAGGAUCCCUGGGCUGACCAACACUGAUGUUUGUACCUGGAGCCAAGUCAUAUUUUAGGCCAAUUCUUUCAUUCCAUGAGAACUUGUCAUCAGAUUUUCCAGGAAGAACAUAAACCUGCCAUUAUAUUUUUGUCUGUUUGGAAGCUUCUUUUGCCCUCUAGAAGCCCAGUGCUACCAAAUCCCAUGAAGAGUUUGUGCUGGGUUCAGACCCUGUUCAGUACCCCAUUCUCAGCUCCAUGGGGGGAAGCUUGCAGCUCUCUAUUGAUGAGAGUCUUGGCUCUCUGCUGUUUCUUGGGUAUCUUUUUGUGACAAGGAUGGCUGGUGCUGGCACGCACUGUAAACGAGGAGGGGAUGGGCCUAAGUUUCCAUCACGCUGCAAAGCAGAACCAUCUGUUGGUGGCUUCUCUGUUAGCCCGUGGCUGUGAAGAGAGCAUUUAACAAUGAAGAGCUGGGGCCAGAGACACGAGUCCUUGGCUCCAGUUCCUGUUUGUCUCCAGGCUGCCGCAUUCCACAGAAGGCAGUAAACUGACAUUCUGAGAAUGUUUGUCUCUGCCAGCCAGGGCUUGGCUAAUCCUGGUGACCUGCAGCAGAUUCCCCACCAAGAAGACAUCCAGUGGAAAGACAGAACUUCCAGUCUAUGCUGAGUAAGAGUGAUGAGAGCAGACAUCCUGCCUUUGUUCCUAAUCUUAGGAGGAAAGCAUUCAAUCUUUCACAGAGCCCACCAUGAAAUCUGUCCCAAAUCAUGGAACCCCGAGGUGAAAGGCCCCCAGGCAUGCCAACACAUGGCAGACAAAUCCAGUUGUGUCCAGGGAUGGCGUUCCCUCCAGUUUUCUGAAAGACGCUCCCAUAUUCCUUAAGCACAGGGAUCUACUAAAGGAUGUGCUCCUUAAAAAUGAGGGAGUAAGCCGAGAAAGAGGAAGAUGUGGGCUCUAGAAAAUGGAAUCCAAUGCAGCAAAAGGCAUCUGAAAAUCAGUGGAAAUCAUCGCCAACUCUCACUCCUCCCAAUUACCUCCUGGGUGGGCUGGAACCUGAGAAAUCUCAUCAGUAAAGCUCAACAGCGUUGCCGAAUGCAUUCUCCUCUUCAGGCUACAAGAGCUUUGGGGUUGCAUGCUGUCACUCAAGAUCAACCGUAAGGGGCUCACAGAGGUCCAGAGAGGCCUCAGUGCUCCCUGAUGUUGAUGCCCCCAAAACCAGUCCAAAUCUAAGCCAGGUGCUCGGACCCACAGCAGCGGUCAGGGCCCUGCAGCCGGGCAGAACGCUGCUCCUCUGCGAACCUAACAGGGACAGGCAGAAGAGUAGAUAGAUGCCCACCCUCCCCGAUCUCCAGCUGAGAUGCACAUUGGCCCAGAACAAGUGAGCUGCCUUGCAGAGCCACCACGAGAAGGAAGCCGAGGCAGGAACAGAAGUGUCUGCUGUCUAUGUGCUAACAUGCACACAGACUGUGCCCCAGUUUCUAGCCCCGAGUCACAGCGAGGCUUCUCUGAGGACACAGUCCUGCUCUUUUGCCUGCCAAGUCAUCGGCUCCCCGCACCUCUAGUGGGAAGCUGUGGGGUGGCCGAGAACUGGGUGAGCCCACCCCCCACCAGAAGGCUCUCUGUUCACCCAGUGACAUCAUCUUCUGCUCCCUGUGAUCUUGGUAAUCCUAUCCAUCCUGUGCUUUCCCCCAGAAAAAUAAAUUAAAGCAGGGCCCUCUGAGUCCCCAAUCUACUUAAUUGUACUGCCUUCACAGUCUUUGUUUGAGAAACAGUCCCCACAGCUCAAGACUCUUCAAGCAUGGAUCUGUAUUGCCAUGAUUAUUUCUGGAAUCUCUUUGAAAUUCCACUCGAUGCAGAAAACAUGUCCCACCUGUCUCAGAUCUCACUCCAUUCAGUCCAUGCAGAGUGGUCUUUCCACCCAGCCCCUCUCCUGGGGAGCCAACCUGGGAAAGUUCCCACACACCUUGUCAGAGCCCCACUACCUGGGCAGUGAUCAGGAGGUUUGCAGAAAAUGGAGAGGCCUUAAUUUACAGCCAAUGAGGUCAGGCCAUCACAGCGAUGCCCAGGGCAGAGGGCAAGAAGGAAUGAGCUCCACAGACGUCCAACUGCCCUCAGGAUUGGAGAAUCCAGACAGCCCCUGCAUGCCUCCUCUGGCUUCAUCCAAGUCAGGACAGAGUCAUCUGCAGGCACAAAUCAACUCCAGAACCUUUCCUGAAUGACACAAAGGCUCUGAAAUCGGUGUCUGCCUCUGGUCAGUUUGAGCCCCUCUCCUGCACUGUGUACAGGAAGAAUGACAGACUUUAUGCAGAAUGCUUUUAAUUUUUCUCUAUGUCAGAGCAAUGCUCAACUCACUGAGCCCUGACUUGCAGGAUGACUAGUUCCAGGGCACCCUGGGGCAAUCCUGUUCCAGGAACAACCUUUAGUGAGCCAGGGUGGUCCUUUUCCAUCCUGCUCACACGUGUGCCAACAAUCGGAUUUUAGUACUUUCUGUGCUCCCAGAGGACUGACUCCUGGGGAUGGCCGCCAUCUGCUCAGCCUCCUGUCACAAGCCUGAGUCCCACCUCGCUGCUAGUCACAGAUCCCAGCCAGCCCGUAGCUCCUGUCCAAACACAAAAGCCAGGUCUUGCAGUAGAAGACAAAUCCCAUGCACCAACUUAUUAAACUAAAGAAGAAGCCAAGUGAAAAAGGCAUCACCAGAAGUAACUUGAAGUUGUUCUGGGCUUUUGGCUUGGUGCCAGUCUAGCUGAAAAUCAGGUAGCUGAGGUGUGGUGGGAAGCUGGAGUCAGAGGGACCAAAGUGGAAAUGAAUGCCCUUGGACAGAAUGCCACAAUAGGCCAAGCACAUGGUAAGCACUUGAUCGAUGCCAGCUACCAUUUUUGCUUAUUUGCUUUUAUUAUUAAUGUUUAAAUUUAUAGACAGUGAAAUGGACUUCCAUGUAGUGUACAGUUCUAUGAGUUUUAAGACAUGUAGAUUUGUGUAACCACCUCCACAAUUAGGUUAUGGAAGACUUCCAUCCCCCAGACUCUGGCCUCAAGCUGCCUUUCAUAGCCAAACUCUUCUCCACCCCCAACCCCUGACAACUGCUGGUCUGUUUUCCAUCCCUAUGGUUUUGCUUUAUAAACUCACGCAGUAGGUAACCUUUUGCAAUUAGUUUUCUUUCACUCAGUGUAAUGCCUUUGAAGUUUCUCCAUGUUGUCAUCUGUCUCAAUAGUUUAUUCCUUUUUAUUGUGAGGUAGUAUUUCAUAUACCACAGUGUGUUUCUCAAUUCACCCAUCAAUAAGAGUGUUUCAGUUUUAGUGAUGAUAA